rnacentral:rRNA from 1 species
AUUGAACGCUGGCGGCAGGCCUAACACAUGCAAGUCGAACGAGAGGCGGACGGGUGAGUAAUGUAUGGGAAACUGCCUGAUGGAGGGGGAUAACUACUGGAAAAGGUAGCUAAUACAGCAAACCAUCAGAUGUGCCCAGAUGGGAUUAGCUAGUGGGUGGGGUAACGGCUCACCAAGGCGACGAUCCCUAGCUGGUCUGAGAGGAUGACCAGCCCACCUGGAACUGAGACACGGUCCAGACUCCUACGGGAGGCAGCAGUGGGGAAUAUUGCACAAUGGGCGCAAGCCUGAUGCAGCCAUGCCGCGUGUAUGAAGAAGGCCUUCGGGUUGUAAAGUACUUUCAGCGGGGAGGCGUUACCCGCAGAAGAAGCACCGGCUAACUCCGUGCCAGCAGCCGCGGUAAUUC